rnacentral:rRNA from 1 species
AUGUCGACAUAUGGGGUGAAGGUUGGGAUGUUUGGUGGGUCAAAUGGUGAUGUCUACGACAUCGCCGAAUUGACGAGCUCUGCGCCGUCAAGCCUUAGGAGCUUGGAGAUUUGGAGCACGUCGGGCCACGAAGGGAUCAUCAACGCCAUAUCCUUCACCUUCGUGGACAGCAAAAACCACAUGAACAAAGCAGGUCCAUGGGGCACCCCGCUUCCUGGCCAAAAGAGCAAGACUAUUCACUUGACAAACGUGCGUAUCACCGAGCUCUCCGGCUACACUUACGACGGAUACAUCACCUCGCUCACCUUCCGCACCACCGACGCCCAGAAGCACCAUGGCCCGUUCGGAAAAGUGAGGCCGAAAGCCGGUGUCGACACCCAUUUCCGCAUCCCUCUCAUGAACGGUUCUAUCGUCGCCUUCUGCGCCCAAGCCGACGACUACCUCAGCGCUAUUGGUGCUUAUCUCAAGAUUUGA